rnacentral:tRNA from 1 species
GUUUUUAUAGUUUAAUAAAAAACUUUGGUCUUGUAAACCAAAAAUAAGAAUUUCUUUAAAAACU